rnacentral:lncRNA from 1 species
AAUUGAAUUCUCUGCUAUCUGAUCUCUGAAUUCUGUGCGAAAGCUGUGGUCGAAAACUGAUCCCCAAGCCCAGUGACACAAUUGGCUUUACGCGGCACGUGCCGGCCGUGAAUCCGCAAAAUGGCAUUGGAAAAUUGGCAAUUUGAGAACCAUAACCAGCUUAAUCACACAUUUUUAUGGGCCAUCAUACUAUGUACAAUAGAUAAUAAAAAUGUGCGAAUGUUAUAUGAUUAUCCAUGCAUAUGACAGAUGUCGACUGCAUUGACACACCGAAGAAGGAGAUGCCCUUACAAGAGCUUAGAUGAUCAAAUUCUUAGGAUAUUUUGUACUUAAAGGUAAGAUAUUUUAGUACCUUACGAAUGGGAUGCAUAAAUU